rnacentral:lncRNA from 1 species
CGAUUUCCAAAUACUUGUUCAAACAUUCUGGAGCUAUCCUUCCCUUGAGGUAUGGGUCAAUGGCAUGAUAAAUGGUUCCUUGGCUUAGGGAUUCCAUGGCCCAAUCAAGCAGAUAUUGUUUCUCCUCAGGUAGUGUGCUAUCAUAUUGUGGUCUGCCAAAAAGAACUUCGUACAAAACAAUACCAAAUGAUAAGACGUCGGAUUUUUCUUUCAGUAAACGCACGCGAUGCUCUGGGGCCAUAUAUCCACAAGUUCCCACCGCAUGAUCUGUGUCGAUUCUUGUCAAGGCUUUUGACGUGCUAAGAGGAAGCAAUUUGGACAAUCCAAAAUCUGAAAGUUUAGAACACCAUUCUUCAUCUAAAAAUAUGUUUGAGCUCUUGAUGUUAUGGUGGAUUACAGCACGCUUGGCUCCAGCGUGAAGGUAAUGUAAUCCACGUGCUGCACCGAUACAUAUGUACAGCCUAUGUUUCCAAGCCAGUGGAACAUGAUCCUUCCCGUAGAUAGCAUGAGCGAGUGACCCUCUGCUCAUGUACUCUAACACAACGAACAUCUCCUUUUCCGAAAGGCAGAACCCGAUAAGAGAGACGAGAUGCGGGUGGCGCAACUGGCAAAGCAACUGUACCUCAUUUAAUUGUAACUCACUUGCUCCUCCUCCUGAACUGCCUCCGCAGCGUCUCACAGCAACAAUGGUUCCAUCAUCCAUUGUCCCUUUAUAAACAAUACUCCCGAAGUAACUUGUACCAAUAAUGGAGUCUGGAUGGAAAUUGUUGGUCGCGGCUUUGAUCUGGGCUACUGAAAAUUGACGGCAUAUAUCCUCCGGAAGUUCUAACUGAGGAAAUUUUUUCUUUGAAGCGAAGAAGCUUAGCAGAGAACAGAAACGAUGCCUCAUAGGGGAUAUUUUAUUUAUUUAAAAUAUCCCCUCCGAAGAUUUGAAGAGAACUCUAUACGCCUGAGAGAAGUUAUAUGAAAACAUAUGGAAACACUUAUGCAUUGUAUUAAACUUUCUUUAUAUGUUCUGCUGUGUGAAUAGGACUGAAGUUUGAGAAUGAGUUGUGUAAGUGCCCAAAUUUACCCGGGUCCAGAAUUGCUAAUCAGCCCAAACCAAAAACAAAAAGCCCAAUAAGGCCCAAAUCCUACCCAUUUUACAAACAAGCCCCUAACCCAAAACCCAAUUGGCCCGAUAGGCCCCAAAUGCCCAAACCAGCCCCUAGCUAGCAGGAAACCCUAGUUUCCCCUAGCGCCGCAUACCCCACGUGCCUCGUCGACACGUCCGACGCUCGAGGUUCGGCUCCCCCUUGUCUUGUUGCACCCAAACGGAGGCUUCCCUUCGUUGACCUUCUCCUAACCUGCAAACAGACCCAAAUGAGGAAAAGAGAGUACAACACGCAAAGGCAGACAAAAAAUAAACAGAAAUCGACAAUAGAUGUAUUCGGCUAUAUAGCCAAGAGUAAAAAAUGUAACCUUUUUUUUUUUACACGGAUUGAAAUAUAACAAAAAAGCAGUCAAAAAAUAGGAGAAGGUGAUUUCAAACGUCUUGUACAUCUUUCCUUUUGAAUCUGUUUCGUUUUCUUUUUUGUUUGCAUGCAUUUUUUAGUAUAAUAAAAAUAAAACAAUGGGCUUACCAUCGAGAGUUUGCCUUCGGGAUCCUCAUCUUCUUCGUCUAAAUCGAAGUCUACGAGGGGAUUUCAGGGUUGAGAUUGGCAUAUGUGGCUCUAAUCGGUUUUAGAACGGGCUUUGCUCACCGCUAAUUACCAGUCACGGUAGCGUGUGGUGGCUGGGCAGAGGAUUCAUGGUUCGGCCGAAUGAACAAAAGGGGAGAGGCUUCAGUUUUGUUUCUUCUUAUUUUGAUUUGUUUUAGGGUGGCUGAAUGUUAGUUUUAGGGUUUUCUUAAUUUUUUUCCUUUACUUUUUUGUAAAGUGAACGAAACGGUGGCGUUUAGGGAUAGGCUGACCCGCGUGUUGACCCAUUCCCAGACCCGGACCCGGACCCGUGCCUCUCUGCUUCAAGUGGGAAAAUUUCACAGUUAACCCCUCCCUUUUCGUGCCACAUUUCAGUAGACUCCUAUUGGCAUCUUAUUUAUUUCUUUUAAUGUUUCCCCAAAAAUUUAUGUGCUAUUUCAUUUCAGUCCGCGCAUAAGGGCUGCGUUUUGGGGGUCUGGAGUAUUUCCAACUUUAGUCCUUAGUGUUUGGGCGUGUUUCGUAUAGGUCCUUAUUUUAAUUCCAUUCGUUUAUUUUAUUUAUAAAUUGUCCCUUUCAUUUUAAAUUUAUUUUUAUUAAGUUCCCAUUUAUAUAAUUCAUUGUUUUAAGGAAAUUCACUUAAUAUUUUUAAAGAAAAGCUACUUUAAUAAUUUUAACCUUGUUUUAAAAGAAUCAUUGCUUUGAAAUUUUACAUUAUAUUAUUUUAGCAUUAUGUAAAAUAUUUUGUUUACAUAUUUUUAUAUACUUGCGUACAUAUAGUAAUUUAGUUGAGCUUUCUAUGUGGAAAUAUUAAUUUUUUAAAAUCAAUCUAGGUAUAUUUGUUAAUCUAUUUUAGUUAUUUCACUUUAUUUUCAUCUGUAUAAUUAAUUUGAAGUUUGUUUUAUCAUGUUAUUUUAAUAUUUUUGUAUAAUGCCUCAUCUAAAUAUUUUGUGUAUAUUUGUACAUAUAUUAUUUUAAUGGCUAAAUUGUUGUUUUAAAAUUCAUCUUUGUGCUUAUAAAAUUAUUGUUUUGAAAUUCUUUAUAUUAUAUUAUUUUAAUAUAUUAUAGAGUAUUUCAUUUAAACACUUUUGUAUAUAUUUGUACGUAUAUAACAAAAUUAAUUUAAUCCUGUAUGUAUUUUCCUUUUAUUUUAUUCUAAACUUAUUUACAUAUAUAUAUAUAAUUUGUAACUCUAAUAUGUUCUUAAAAUUAUAUUUCAUUUUAUAUUUUUUACUAUCUUUGCAUGUUUUAUACAUAGCUUGAAUUCUUUUUUGUUGUAUAUAAAUUAUCAAUUUUAAACCAAUAUUCUUUAACAUUUCGUAUAUUAUUCGAUUUAAGAAUAUUCAUUCUAUAACAUAUAUUUUAAAUGAUUACAUAUAUAUCUCUAGUUUUUUUUAAUCCAUCAAUUCACAUGUUAUAUUUUACGCGUUUAUCAUUAUUUUUUAAUUCUGUUUUAUACCAUAUUGUUCUUUUAAUUUUCAUCCUGUUUUAUAUAUCUCGUAUUGAUUGUGUUAUAUUAGGCUUUGUAUAUUAUUGUGGCAUAUUAUUGUGUGUAUUGUUUUGUUCGUUUUGUUUUAUUGUUAUGCAUUGUUAUAUUAUUAUAUUUCGUUCUGUAUUGUUAUAUCAAUUACUCUCCAUACAUUAUUGAAAUUGAGUUAUAUUUUUAGGUUAGUUAUAUUUACUGGUAUUGGAAAAUUUGGACAUCACAUAUAUAAUAAGGAUAAUUACAUGUUAUUAUUUACUAUCAUGAUAGGUUAUCCCAAAUUAAAAGUGAUCUAAUUUGGUUAGAAUUUUAUUGGGCUUUUAAUUAUUAAAUAAAGUAUCGGUCAAACAUGUGUAGAUACUCUUCUAAUCAAAUUCUAAUUAAUGAUGGGCUAAUUAGAAUUUGAUUAGAACUAAUAUGCUAAGGUUAUAAAUAUUAGGGUUCUGGUCCCCAAAUUAUACACAAGAUAUCUUUUCUAAUAUCCCAUCAUUAGGAAAGAGAGAGCAGAUAUUCUCUGAAUUUCUUGUGUGCUAAUUUGGAAGAUCAAAUCCCCAAAUUCCAGAAAGUUUCAAGGAAUCUAUGGAUUCAGGUACGCUUCCGCAUCUAGUUUUGUUCUUGAUUUAUUCUUAAUGAUUUGACAUGACAGAUCCUGGUUUAUUAAGUUAUAUUGUAGAUUUAUUUUAUAAAAUCUAACAAGUGGCAUCCGAGCUUUAUCAUGUUGAAUCAUUGAGAAUGAAUUGAUUAUUUAUUAAUUUUGGAUUGAUUCAUUUUUCUUUUUUUUUUUAAAUUUUAUGGAUUUGAUAUUUUAAUUAUAUAUUAUGUUGAAUCUUUGAGAUUCUUGAUAAAUUUUUGGGUUUUGAUUUUUUAAAUAAAGUUUUAAAGUUUUAUAAAUAUAAUCUAGUUUAAUAUUUGCAUAUGCUAUUCGAAAGAUGAAGGUUUAUAUAUUUAUUUAUAAUCAAUUGAUAAAAAUUAAUUUGUGAGAUUUCUUUCUAUUCUUUUCACACAAUUAUUUUAUAAGUUUUAGUAAAGUCAUUAUUAAAUUAAAAUUAUAGACUUACAACUUUUUUGCAAUUGGAGAAUUCCAAUUUGGGUUGUAUAAUUGGCUUUGAAAGUUGUUCACUUGAUAAAAUAUAUUUUUUUCGUACUAUUUGUUUUAAAUUUUAUGUUUGUAGUUGAAUAUAUAUGGAAUAUCAUCUUUUAUCUUUAUUUAUGAUGAAUUAUAUUCACCAUUCAUAUAUACAAAUGAUUACUUUUUGUUUCUUUUAUAAUUAUUCUAUGUAAGUUUUAGUCUUUAUGGAAUCUGACUAAAAUUAAAAUAUUUGGGAUUAUUAUUUUUUUAAAUAUGGUGGCUAUGAAUUUUCAUAAGUAGUUGCGCAUAUAAAGAUUUUUAUAUAAUUUGAGAUUCUUUUUAUAUUUUGUGGUUAUUGAUUUUUUUAAAGUAUUUGUGAGUAUAAAGAAGUAUUAUAAUAAUGUUUUUAGUCAUGAAAAUAAAUUUGAGUUUACAUAAAAUAUGUAAGGCAAGCCAGUAUUAUUUUUAUAUUUGUGUGUGUAUAUAUAUUAUAUGCAUAUCAAUGAUUUUGAGGAUUAAUGCAUGAUUAUAGUUUGUGUGAACAGACGUUUAUAACCAUUAUUAAAUAAGAUAUAUUUUAUAGUUUAAUUGGUGAAAUUAAGUUUUGAUGGAUAUCAUUGAAGUUAAUUUUUUUUUGUUAUGGUUAUAUAUUAAAUUUUAUGGGUGCUUUGGUGCAAAUUAAUGUCAACUAUAUACAUAUUUAAAUAUUUUGGUUUUAAAUUUGGUUAUAUAAUUUUAGGUUUUGGCAUCUUAUGGUUCCAAAUAUUUGGUUAAAUUAUGAUGAUAAGGUUUAUUGUAUGAAUUGUGGGAUAUGCCAACUAUUAUGAUUUUGUUUUUUGAGAUUUAUUAGCUUGAAAAUAUUUUUCAAGUAUUUAUGUGAAUUUUUGUUUAAUCAUAAAUACAACUUUGGAUUUACAUGGUAAAUUGUGGGAUAUGCCAACUAUUAUGAUUUUGUUUUUUGAGAUUUAUUAGCUUGAAAAUAUUUUUCAAGUAUUUAUGUGAAUUUUUGUUUAAUCAUAAAUACAACUUUGGAUUUACAUGGUAAAUUGUGGGAUAUGCCAACUAUUAUGAUUUUGUUUUUUGAGAUUUAUUAGCUUGAAAAUAUUUUUCAAGUAUUUAUGUGAAUAUCUGUUUAAUCAUAAAUACAACUUUGGAUUUACAUGGUAGAUUCAGGGUAAGUUUUUCUAUUUGAUUAUGAAUACAUGUAUAUGCGUGAAUUGUUUUGGUGUUUUUAUCCAUGCUAAAAUUAUGAAUACAUGUGUUUGUUAAUUAUUUGGCUUUGAACCACUACAUUAUUUCUGUUUGGUUUUGAUAUAUGAUUUUGGAACAAAAAAAAAGAAGAAGAAGAAGAAGGAAAUAGUCAAAAAAAAAAUUAGUUUUGACAUUUGACUAUUGGGGAAAUUUAAAUUUGAAUAUUGGUAUGUUUAUAUAUAUUUUAAAAUAACUUAAUUGAAGCAAAAAGUCACCAAAGUGAUUUUUUUUUUAUAAAUUAUUUUGUUUUAAAAUAUAAAAGUUUGUGUGCCUGUAACUUAAGUUAUGUUAAUAUUGAUUGGCCCAAGUGAAGGUUAAUAAUAUUACAUGUGCAACUAUGGUGAUAAACAUGUGACGGUUAUUCGUUUUACAUGUGAGUAAUAAAUUGGCCCAAAGGAAGAUUUAUUAUUCAACAUGCUCUUAUUAUCAAUGUUUGAUUACUACACCAAGAUAUCACUUACAAAUUAAUAUUUUGUCCAAAGAUGAAAUAUUAAUGGAGUGUCCGAUAUCUUAAAAUGAGGUUUACCUUUUCAAAUUAUUUUGGUUUAAAUUUGAAGUCUUAUGUGAAGUUGUUUAUGGUUUAUGAUUUAUUGAACUAUUAUUAUAUUUGCCAACAUCAUUGUAUGUUGUUUUGGGAUAUAUAUAUAUAUAUAUAUAUUUAUCUUUUAAUUUGAUUGAAAGAUGAAAUUAAGGUAAAUAUUUUGAAACAAAUAAAUUCAGAUUUUGACUUUUAAUUAAGGAUGUGUAAUAUUUUAAAUAAAUUAGUUGAAACAAAAUGCCACCCAAGUGACCUCUUUUGUGUAGAUUAGUUUAUUUGAAAUAUUAAGAUGAUUAUAUGUUUUUGUGAUUCAUGCGUUUAUUAAUUUACCCAAAGGUAAGUUAAUAUUUGGCAGAAUUACAACGACAUCUGUGGUGAUAAAUGUGUGACAAUUAUAAGGUAUUUUAUGUGAGCAAUAAGUUAGUCCAAAGAUUAAUUCAUUGUUUGACAUAGUUUAUUGUCAAUGUUUGAUUGCUACAACAAGAGUACCGCUUACUGUUAAUAUUACUGUCCAAAGACUUAAUAUUAAUUUUGUGUUUGGUAUCUUGAGAUGGGAUUAGCCAUUAUCCUGAAUUUAUUUUUUACUAUGAAUAUUGAUGUGAGCUUAUUUUUUAUUUACUUUUUGUUCUAUAUUCAGCUAAUUCAUAUUCUACUGCCACAAUAUCUGCUAAUAUAAAUUCUAUACCCAUACUUAAUGGGGCUAAUUUCAAUGAAUGGAAAAGGCACUUACUUAUAGUGCUUGGCUAUAUGAACAUAGACCUUGCACUAAAGGAAGAACUACUCGCACCUCUCACUGCGGAAAGUAAGCCCUAUGUUAAAAGGGAUUUUGAGAGGUGGAAUCGUUCAAAUUGCAUGAGUCUGAUGAUCAUGAAGCACAAUAUUUUAGAAGCUUUUAAGGGCAUAGAAUCUGAAAAGAUUACUCAGGCCAAGGUUUCCUUGAUGAAAUUGAGAAACUUUUUGCUAAAAAACAAUAAGGUUGAAAUGACAUCACUUAUGACUUCUUUGAUGUCUAUAAAGUUAAGAGUUAAGGAAAUUCUGAGCAAUCUAAGGGCUAUGAAUUUUAUAAUCCCACAAUUAGGAAUAUUUUUGAGACAAGAAUUACAACAUUCUUUGAGGAUGUUGAGUUUGAGGGGAGAAAUAAGGUUAGAAACAUUGUUUUUGAGGAGGAAUUGGAUUCUAACUCAGUUUCUACUAUUACUUUUGAUGAUGUUUAGACUCUCAUACCUAUCAUUGAUUAAGAAGUGAAUCUAGAACCUCAAUAAGACAAUGUUAAACAACUCCCUAUUCAAGAUGAGGUAAUUGUUCCAGAAGAACAAACUCAACAACCUCAAGAAUGAAUGUCAUUAGAAAGGUCCACUAGAGAAAGGGUUAAAAUGGCUUUAGUGGAAUAUUUUGACUUUAAGCUACAUCAGAUGAAUAUUAAGUUAAUGGUUUCUCAAUGGUAACAUUGAUCAUACAUUUAUAUGGUGCAAUUAGAAAACUUUGUGUCUGAUGAUACAAAAGUAAUAAUUUGCAAAUUAAAGAACUUCAUCUAUGGGUUUAAGUAGACUUCUCGUCAAUAAUAUUACAAAAUUUACCAAAUGAUUAUCUCAUUCGGUUUAGAGAUGAAUUUUGUUGAUAAUCGUUUAUACCAUAAGUUUAGCGGGAGAUUUUAUAUUUGGUUUUAUAUGUUAAAGUUUUAUAUUUGGUUUUAUAUGUUAAUGGCAUGCUGCUUGUCAAUAAUAAGUAUAGCCUCAAUCAAUGCCCUAAGAAUGAUAUUAAGAUUACAAAAAUGCAUUAGAUUUUUUACAUUUUAGCAGUGGAAAGUUUAAUGUAUGUUCAGGUUUGUAUACAUUGGAAUCUUGUAUACACUAUUGGGAUGUUAGGCAGAUAUUUUAAGCAGCCCUGGUUUGGAUCAUUAGAUAGCAUCCAAGAGGGUUAUAAGGUAUUUUCAAAGAACAAAAGAUUACAUGCUCACAUAUUGGAGGUCUAAUCAGUUAGAGAUCAUCAGUUAUAUAGACUCCAAUUUUGAUGGAAUAUGGAUACAAGAUUUUGUCACUAAGGUGCAAAUUGUGAAAACAAAUUGCAGUCUUUUAUUCCAAUAGCAACAGGAGCACAUUAAAGUCAAAACACAUAGACUUUAAGUUCCUGGUUGUUAAAGUAAAAGUUCAGAGUGGUUAAGUGCUUAUAAAGCAUAUUAGGACAAACUCCAUAAUUGCGGAUCCGCUUUCUAAGGAACUACACCUAAGGUUUUAUAAGAGCACAUUGCUCAUAUGGGUGUAAUGUCAUUUAAAGGAUAUUUGGUUUUAGUCGGAGUUUGUAUUUUUAAAUACUUUUAUGUUAUAGACACAUUUUCAGUUAUUUCAGUUUAAAGAUAAUAAGUUUAUUUUCUGCAGAAAUAAAGUUUAUUUGGUUUAUUCACACUCUGAUUUUGGUAAGAUUUGAUCUCACUAAGGAGGACCAGUUGGAAAUAGACAUGUUUAGAUCAUAUUGCAUGUAAUUUCCAUGCUACACAUCCAUACUUGAUCUAUGUCAUUUGGUUGUGUUAAUAUACGUGAUCAUGGAUGGAUUUAGUUACCAUAUUUGUAACGAAAGUCGCCUUGGUUUUAUGUUAACAUAAUUAAUGGACGAGAUUGAACGGAAUGCCUUUUGGAUAUGAUAGUAAAAUUUUGAGCUCAUAAGGUUAUAUAAUGACAUGUAAUUAUAAAGCAAUUAGUAUAUAUAUGUGGUCCAAGUGGGAGAUUGUUGGAAAAUUUGGACAUCACAUAUAUAAUAAGGAUAAUUAUAUGUUAUUAUUUACUAUCAUGAUAGGUUAGCCCAAAUUAAAAGUGAUCUAAUUUGGUUAGAAUUUUAUUGGGCUUUUAAUUAUUAAAUAAAGUAUCGGUCAAACAAGUGUAGAUACUCUUCUAAUCAAAUUCUAAUUAAUGAUGGGCUAAUUAGAAUUUGAUUAGAACUAAUAUGCUAAAGUUAUAAAUAUUAGGGUUCUGGUCCCCAAAUUAUACACAAGAUAUCUUUUAUAAUAUCCCAUCAUUAGGAAAGAGAGAGCAGAUAUUCUCUGAAUUUCUUGUGUGCUAAUUUGGAAGAUCAAAUCCCCAAAUUUCAGAAAGUUUCAAGGAAUCUAUGGGUUCAGGUACGCUUCCGCAUCUAGUUUUGUUCUUGAUUUAUUCUUAAUGAUUUGACAUGACAGAUCCUGGUUUAUUAAAUUAUAUUGUAGAUUUAUUUUAUAAAAUCUAACAACUGGUUCAUUUUGUUAGUUGAUUAUAUGAGGCUACAUUAUCUUCAUUCAUUAAGUAUUGUGUGUAUUGUAUCAUGAUCAUUGUUUUCCUUUUGAUUUAUGAAAUGUUGUUUUAUAAGGUCCAACUCUUCGAGAUUAAUUCUUCCAUUUUAUUUCAAGUCAAAAUUGAUGCGUUUCAAGAUGGCUUUACAAUUACUCAUUUAAAAAUUCCUUAAAACGAAGGCAAUGUUUGAUGUUUGGAAAUUCGAGAAAUCGUGCCCUACCGUGUUGGGUUUCGAUUUUCCGUUUGUUCGAAAUAAUCGAAUUUUCCUUUAGAAUUUCACUUGUGUUUUUCUAAAUUCUAAAACAAGGCAAUGUUUGCUGCUUGGAAAUUCGGGGAAUCGUGCCCUAUCGUGCUGGGUUUCGAUUUCUCAUUUGUUCAAAAUAAUUAAAUAUUCCUUUAGAAUUUCAUUCAUAUUCUUUAAAUUCUAAAACAAGGCAAUGUUCAAUGUUUGGAAGUUCGAGGAAUUGUUUCCUACCAUGUUGGGUUUCGAUUUUCCGUUGGACUAAAUAAUUGGACAUCCUUUUGUAAUUUUUUAACAUAUAAAUUUUUGGAAGUCAAAAGUUUAUCGUGUUCUCGAGGGAAUAAAAGAUUAUGUCCUAUCGUGAUGGAUAUGAUACCGCAUUCCUUUGAAACAAGAGAAUUUUGACGACCAGCUUGAGCUAUUCAAAUGUUUUCAAAGGAAUCAUAUUUCAAAAAUAGCUUCAAAUCUCAGACAUAAAGACAGUACUUAAUCAAUUUGGUACCAAUUUUAGGCGUAGUGAUGGUGCUAAUCCUUCCUCAUACGUAACCGACUCUCGAAUCCGUUUUCUCAAAUUUACGUAGGUAAAAAUUAAUUUAAAUGGAAUAAAAUAUUUUAUUAGGUGAUCCGAUCACACCUAAUCAAAAAAGAUUGGUGGCGACUCCACGUUUUGUUUUCAAUAAGUCGAUCCCUAUUUUUUUCAUUUUUAAAUCAAAAAUAGUUUCGACAAGUUGAAAUUUCAAAGUCAAUGAUAAUCCAACUCAUAACAUAUGGUAAGACUCUUAAUUUGGUGCAAUGGCAGGAUGCAUAAGCCAUCUUUGACUAAUAUAGUUUGUUGUUUGUGUCGCCAUCGUCUGGACCGUACGACUUGCGAGAAUUGAAUUGGUAUUAAUCUACUAGAAAUAAGGUUUGUUCUGCCGAUGAAGGGGUGUCUCUUUGCAUUCUUUGCUCACUGCACUGGAUUUUGCUUGAUGAGCUCAAAAUUCCUGAUUUUUAUGGUGGGAUUUUUCCUUCUGGAUUCGAAGGAGUGCUUCUUUGUCGGUCCAUUGUGAUUCUUGGCAUUUUAAUGUUGAUGGUUCGACGAAAGGGAAGACAGGGUGUGCUGGUUAUGAUGGUGUUUCUCCGGGAUGACAAAUUGAUGUGUGGAUUCUCUUUCUCCAUGGUUUCUAUAAGUUCUUCUUAUUGUUGAAUCUGACGCUUUCGUUGCCGUUUCAUGGGUCCGUAUCACUGCUGCCAAACCAUGGAAGCUAUGGAAGAGCUUGAAUAUCAUUGACGACCUUUUGCACCAGAGUAACAAGGUGCUAAGAGAGGCUAAUGUGAUUGCAGUUCACUUUACCAAAAAAAGGAUCACCAGCUCUGAUUUUUCGCAUGGUUUUGAGGUGUACCAUCCGGAUAGCUUUAUUUUCUUUCAUCUUUUGUGGUAUUUUCUAGUUUCGCUCCUCUGUUGUUGUACUCUCAUGUUUCUAAACCCACUAAUAGUAGCAUUUUUGCUGCUACCUUCAAAUAAAAUUGAUUUUUGAUGGUAAAUAUACAUUUUGGUACUUGAACUUGAUUUCAACUUUUACUUUAGUACUUAAUCUUUUUUUCUUUUUCUCCAAUAAGGUACUUGAACAUGGCUUUAAGGUUUAAUUUGGCACUUCAAGUUUCUUUUUUUUCUCCAAUUAGGUACUUGAACUUGCUUGAGUUUCACAUUGGUACUUGAACUUGGCUUUUUUUUGUCCAAAUUAGUAUUUAUGGUAAAUAUCUUAUUUGAAUCAAUUUGAACUAUGAAGCCAAGUUCGGGCACCAAUGUCAACCAAAAUGCCAAGUUCAAGUACCUAAUUGAACCUUGAGGUCAAGUUUAGAUACCUAAUGGGACAAAGAAAAACUUCGGUACCAAAUUAAAAUUCACAUACCAAUAUAUAUAUUUACUCAUUUUCUAUUGAGAAUAAAAACAUAAUCUUUUUAUAUAAAAAGUUGAAUUGAUUCAUAUACGACAACUACAUUUCAUUUCGGUGAUGUGCAUGAAAAUUAUGGUUUUUUUAUUAUUACCACCUCUAAUCACCUUGUCCAAUGACUCUUCGCCUUGUACUAAAACAAGGUGAACUACACAUCCUCACCCUCCUCUCCACCUUGUCUAGUUAAACCAUCAACAAGUUAUGAUAGCAAAUUUUUCUUAAAUUUUGGUAUAAUUCGCUCAAGUCCAAAAGUAAUUCCCAAUUGCAUCAUUUAAAAGUUGAAUGUUGAAUUUAGAACUAAACCUAUAAACAAGUGGAUCAAAAUUAAAAUUUUCAUUUCUUUAUUUUUUUUUAGUAUACACAUGUAGAUUUUUUUUUUACGAUUUGACACUAAUUCUAUUUAGGUUAAUGGUAUCAGGUAAAGGUUUUCCAAUAGUAAUGACUCUAAGAUUCAAACUUAGUCCAAAUGAUUGAGAAAAAAGUUUAUGGCCACUUCUUUCAACCACUUGUUGGUGAUUUCUUUUUAUUUUAAUCUAUUAAUGAUCUACAUUUUCAAUUGUAACUAUUGUGUUUAACUUACAUGCAGCAUAAAUCUACACUAUUAUAAAGUUUUUGUCUAAGUUAGUAUUAUGUGUUAACCAAACAAUUGGAAAAAGAUAAAAUAAAUUUAAAAUUAUUUGCUGAUACAAGUUGUGGAGUAGCAUUCUAAGUGGCACUCGAUAAUGGUCACUACCAUCAUCCUUGUGACAAAGUAGUAUCAUCUAGGAGUAAACUUGCCAUAUUUGGUGUUGGCAAUUUAUUGAAACAAAAUCUUUGGGCUAUUUCUUGUGUUUGAUAUUUUGGAGAUAUGAAAGCCCUACUUUGGAGUCACGUAUACAUAGUCCAUCAUCCACUCAAGAUUUAGGUAUGCCACACUAUGAACAUCACAAGUGAAUAAACUUAAAAAUGGAUUCAGAAUCUAUUCUUUUUGGGUCUAGUUUGAUGUAUUGUCAAUCCAGUCAGUCACAUCUAUGUAUCUAUCUUUUAGGAGUCAUCUACUUCGAUGCCUAAGAAAAAAUAUCCCCGUAAUUGGACUAGACCGAUGUCAUAUUAGUCUUUUAAUUGGGUUUGCUCAUUUUUUAUUAGACUAAGAACAUGUUUAGAUUCAUCUACUAAUAUAAGUUGUCUUUUCGUAUUACGAUUCAACCACGUAAUACUGUUAAUAUCAGUUAAACAUUAAACAACCAAUGAGCAACAUUUGCUUCCAUUUUGGUUUGCGUGUAAAACCCACAUGAGGACAAUUAUACAAAGUAUAUCAAUGAAUUUUUUUUAUUAACCAAUCUGUUCGAAAAAAUUAAAAGUUUACAUUAACAAAAAUGCUACACUUAGGGCACCAGAUCCAAUAGUUUGUCCAUGUCGUCGCAUGUCGACCACUACCCAUAGUGGCUUGCCAUUCUGUGUUCUUUUUUUCGAUUUGGGUUGGGUUAUUGGUCUUUCAAGCUUUUCUAGGUUUCGCUAAAAAAUUUAAAAUUACAAAAAUUACCUAGUCUGUUUUCAGCUCACAUAAUUUUUUCUAAUUUUACAAAAAUUAAAAUUAAAAAUAAUUUCUCUGUGGAUAUAAUAGUUCACGAUCUAGUAACAUACCAAAAAAAAUAUGAAAAGCCUAAAUAUAACCUAUCUAAAGCUAAGAACCACAAAUUUUUGGCAAAAUUACUUUAUAACAAUUAUAAAAUAAAUUCAUACAUUCGUUCAGAUAUAUAACAAUCCAAACAACAUCACUUCUCAUAUUAUUUAAUCAAACAAUGAAAGAGAUAAAUAAAUUUGUUAUUCGAUUUUAAUUAUAAACAUAAUACAACCUAGCUUUAAUAUAAAUGAUUGGAAAAAUCAAUUUAGAAAACAGUGGCAUAUGCACAGUAGAAGUUUAAAUUUUUUUUCUUAAAAUUGAGUCUUGUAAUAUUUAUAGUUAUAAACUCUAGACCAAAUUAGUACAUGUGCUUUGAGCGAAACAAUCUAGGUUAUUUUCUAGCUUUCUACCAAAACGCUCUUCUUUGUUAUCUUCGAACCCCGACUUGCUUAGAGUGCGAGCAUUAAUUUUACGAAUCGAUUGCAUAAGAUACAAUCUUUGACUAAUAUCGAAACUAUUUUCAAAUCGAGUUUUGGAAAAUGGGAAGCGAUUUUAAAAAACGAAAACGGGAGUCGCCACCAAUCUUUUUAGGUGUGAUUGGAUCACCUUUAAAACAUUUUUUUUUAAAAUCAUUAGUUUUGGUCCACGAAAUAAAAGAACGGGUUCGGGAGUCAGUUACGUACGAGGAAGGAUUAGCACCCUCGUAACGCCCAAAAAUUGGUACCUAAUUGAUUAUCAAAUGUCUUUAAUGUCAGAAAUUUAAAAAAUUUUAAGAUGUAAUCCUCUUUAAAAUACUUUGAUUUUGAAAACUUAGGUUCACUCGUAUCAAAACAUUGACACUAAGUUAACCUUUUGGAAAUCCCUAUCUCGAAACGACAAAUCGCCACAUCCAAUAAGUUAGGACACAACGCUUUGAAAUUUCAAGACAGUUGCUCGCAUUUUGAAAAUCUUAAAAACUUAGAAGGGUACUUGACUAUUCGAACUCAACGAGAAAAGUUGCAACCCAAUAAGUUAGGGCACUACUUUUCUCGAAGCUUUCAAAUACUAAGCAUUGCCUUUUUUAUUUUUAUAAAACUUUUAAAUAUUGUUUUAAAUGACCUUUUAGAGUGACAAUUCUAUAUUACGACAUAAAUAUUCAAAUAGCGUAUAUUACAAAGUAUUAUAACACUUUAUAUAAAUGCAAUCACUAUAUAGAGGGUAAAAUAGAAUAAUAAAAAUAAUCAUGCUAAGCAAAUAGGAAUAUACCCAAAAGAAAACAUAAUAAAUGCACUAAUUAUUACAAUAUAUCAUAAAUAAAACAUUAAAUAAUAUAAAAAACAUGGUAAAUAUUAAUGUGUAAAAUAUGUAUGAGUAAAAAUAGAUGACAUGCAUAGCAAAUGGAUAAAUAGAAUCUACAUAAAAUAUAAAAUAUACAAUCCAAUAAUUUAAUGUACACAUGAAUGGAUUAAUAAAUGAAAUGAUGCAUAUAAUACAAUAUAUCAAUGUACAUAUAUAAAAAUAUGCAUUUGAAAGUAAAUUAUAAAAGUCUAAGAUAUUACAUGACAUAUGAAAUACAUAACAUAACAAUAAUACAUUAAUUCUAAAGUAAAAACAAAUAUUGUAUAAUAAUAAAAAAACAUAAGUUUUAAAAAUAUAUGUAUAAUAUAAACAAUUGAUAAAUAGAAUGAGCAUAUAAAAAAUGUGAUAUUUAAUAAUAAAUUUAAAAUAUAAUAUAUAAUAAAAAUAUAUUUAUAAGAAUAAUAAUUAUAUAAAAUAUAUUGGUUUAGAAAAAUAAUGUAUAAAAUAUCAAAUAUAUAAAAGAAUUUAUAUUUAUAAUGAAAUGAUUAUAUAAUAUAUAUACAUGCAUAGAAAAUAUAUAUUUGAAAAUAAACUAUAUAAAAAGGUUAAAUAUUAUGAUAUAUAAAAUACAUAAUCAAAUGUAUAAAAGAUAGGAAAAAAUAUACAUAUUUGAAAAAUGAAGAAAUUAAAAUAAAAAAAAGGUUGAAAAACUAAGAUAGACGAAGAAUAAAAUAAGAACAAACCACAAAGAGUAAGAACGCAAGAGGGAAAGAAAUUUGAAUGAAUGCUCUCAAGAAUUUUUAUUGCUUCCCAAAACUCCAGUGAUUUACAAUGAAGGGAGAUGCCUCUAUUUAUAGUUGAGCCUCCCCAAAUCCAACGGUACAGAUCAAUUACAUCAACGGUUAAGAUUAAAGGAUAUCUACAAAUUAAAUCUCCAAGAUUACAAAAUCAUAUCUUCUAAGAUUGCAAUCAUAUCUAAGAUUGUAUCAUAUCUAAGAUUAUAUUUCCAUAUGAGUCAAGCUUGUAGAUGGAUCUUAAAUCUUUUCAAGUAAUGGGCCAUUCCGAUCGGGCCAAAUUAUAUUUGUAAUUCUGGACUGAACUUGGACUUUGUUUUUUUGGGGUUUAUUAUUUUAAAUACUGAAAUGGGCCGGGCAAAAUUGAGUGUCUACAACUAAUUUCCAAAGGAAAAAGUUAAUUUAUCUCUAUAGAAAACUAAAAACUUGAACUUUCAAUAAAAUAGAAUUUAUUCUCUAACAAAUUUUUAUUAUUUCCUAACAGAGUAAUGACAUUCAAAAUAUGAAUAACUAUUGUAAUUUUGGCUCAAAGUUCCUAUUUAUAGGAAAAAGGUAUAAUAAGAGUUUUACUUGAAUAGUUGGUAAUAGAAUAGUAUUAUUUUAAUAAAAAAAAUACAAUUUUCUACUUGAGAAUACUAAGAAGUGACGACAAUCCUUACUAGGACUAGAGUUUGUCACCCCGUACAUGCUAGAUGAGCCUAUUGGGCUUGUCUUUGGUAUUGGGUGCAAUUAUAUAUAUUAUAUGGACCUUUAACCAACUUAUAUAAUUUAACCAUCCAAAUAACCACUUUUUAUAUUUCUCGAAAUAGUAAUUAAUUAUAAUUAGAUUAAAUUAAAUUAAAUUAAAUUAAAUUAUUUUCUUAAAUCAAUUCUAAUUCCAUUAAGAUCAAGAUGAUUUUACUGCCCAUGAGGAAAUAUAUUUAAUUGUCUUGUUUAUUAAAAUUGCGAUGAUUAAUUAAUUUAAUUUUCACUUUAAAUUUCAAUUAUUUAAUUACAAUUAAUUAAAAAAUAAUUCAAAUAAAUUAAUUUAAUAUUUAAGUCAUCUUUUACAUUUAGCGAGAAAAUGCAUUUACUGUGGAUAGUGAUGCAUGUGAUAUAUUUCUUCAUCAUCAUUUUCAUACAUUCCUUAAUAUCGGUUCUACAUGCAAUCCAUUUUAAAUUAUGUCGAGCUAGCGGACAAAUUGAUUGGACAUAUAUAAUUAGAACUUAAAUGAUUUGUAAUUAAGUUUCAACUCUUGUUUAAUAAUUACAACAUUAUUUAAUCAUAGAAUCAUUCCACUAAAGCAUCAUGAUUGAACUCCCCCUUAUUAUAUAUCAUUACGAAAGCAACUUUAUAGAUACUUAUCUAAUGGCCUUAUCAUAAGUGUGUUACCCUCAUAGGAUAUUAUUUAUCUCUUUGAGUUAAAUCCAUUCACCCAAUAUGAUUAUAUUUUAUCUUAUGGUAACUAUUACAUCUUCCUUUAUGAAAAAGUCAAUACUAAUAGAUACUAAUUAAAUUAUUCAUCCUAAACAAAUUACCCAUAGCCCCGUUACUUUUUUAUCUAUCAUGUAAUACCAAUGAAAGGAUAUCAAUUACCCUUAAUUGAACUAUGAAUUUCACUAUUAUAAAUGAAACUAUAACAUGCAGAAAUUGUAUACUCAACAUAUUGACUUUCAGCUCUAGUGUUAUUUGAACUUAAACUUUUAAUACAUCGAAGUAUAUGAGUCACAUGCAAAUAGACAGUCACUUACUCAAGAUUGAGGUAAGUCACACUAUGAACAUCACAGGUGAAUUAAUCUGUAUGGAUCAGUUAAUUCAACUUGGGUCUUAUCUGAUGUAUUAUCAAUCUAGACAAUCACAUUGAUGUCUCUAUCUUUUGAGAUUCAAUCACUCUAAUACCUAAAAUAAGGUAUCUCCCUAAUUGAACUUUACAGACGAGAUAAUAGUCAUUUAAUCAAUUUGUUCAAUUUUGAUUCAUCAGAUUAUAGACCUUUUAGAUUACCUACUAAUAUAAGUUGCAUUCUCACAUUAUUAUUCGACCACAUAAUACAACUUAGUAUUUGUUAAACAUUAGGCAAUUAAUGAGUCAAUAUUCGCUUAAAUUUUUCUUUGCAUGUAAAAACUGUUGAGGAUAAAUACAGACAAUAGUAAUGUGAAUAAUGGAAUUUUAUUAAAUCAAUCUGAUUGAAAAAUUACAAGUAGAAAGGAAUAAUAAACUACACUUAGAGCACUAGAUCCUAACACUACAUUCUCAUAAGUGAGGAUCAAACCUCGACCAUAUGAUUAAAGGAUGAGGUGAGCAACCACCACACCUCAACUUAGCAAUUUUUUUAGUCAUAUAUUUAAACAUCUUUUUAAAAUUUUUUAGAGAAAAACAUUUGAGCAAUUAUAUGAGUAAUUAUCAUUGGGGCAACUAACAAUUGAAGAACAAUAACACAACAAGAUUGGUUACGCAAUUCAGUUUCCAUCUACGUCUAAGGGGCUUUACCCAAAGAGAUAAUCUACAAUCUUCAACCACAUACUGGUAAUGAUUUAAGUCAUACUACUCACCAUGGUUAAGAACCUUUAAUAUUUAUAUUAUUCUCUGCUAAAUUUUUCAUGAAACUCAAUUGUAAAGCUAAAUGACUUUUAUAUUUUACUUACAAAAUGCACUCACAAAAGAAUUUUAAUUGAACAAAAUAAGGUGUACUAACUAAGUCAAGCCUCUAAUAAAUAGUGGUUUAAGGCUUGCUGAAAUACAAAUUAGUUACCAUACCAAAUCCCACUAAAGUAUCCUUACAAUUAUCUUAAUAAUUUUCUUUUAAUUUGAAAAUUGAGUUUUAGAGUAGAGUAGGUAAAUUUUUGUGUCAGGUUUAGGAAAAUUUCACUCCCACCCACUCUAAUAUAUUUAGAAAAACACUUUUUUUAUUUUUAUUUUUAUAAAUAGUUUUUAUAUUUCAAUUAUAAUUUCAUAAUUUUAUAAGAAUUUAUAACCUAUAUUUAAAUUUUGUAAGUAUUAUUUCAUAUAUUUUGUUAUAAUUCCAUAAUUUUAUAAUAUAUUUGGUUUAAUUUUAUAAAAAUUAGCAUAUUAUAAACCAUUAUUUAAAAUUUCAGAGCUAGAUCAAAAAAGUUAUAGCGUGAUCAGAUUAGUGACAAAAUUUUUAAAUAAAAUCAAGUUCAAAACGAGAUGUAUAAAAAUUAGAUCAGAACUAGGGUGAGUAAAAAAUCAUCCUGAAUUGUUCAAUUGCUAUCCUUUGACGAAACUAAUAAUUUCAAAAGUAAUUUGCAUUGUAAUGGUAUUUCUUUGUCGGAUUUGUCAUUUAGGGUUAUCUAUUUCUCUUUCUAUUAAAACUUCUCUUGAUUUGAGUGGUUGUUGGUGUUGCAUCAACUAUUGGAUAAGGUCCUUAUUUGUCAUGGGUGGUAUGCUGAUCAUGUAUUAAGCACAUACUAAGGCAACAUAUCAGAUUCCUAUGAUACUUGGAUAGAGAAUUGAAAGCAUUUAAUCUUUCAUGUCAACCUCACCAAAACAAUAUGCUUCUAUUACCUGGAGUGGCCCUUUUGACAGCAUGGGUCUCCUCAUCCUCACAAUAGGGAGUGCACUUUGAGCUACUCAAAUUUUGGGAUUCUAAAAUUUUCUGCUUUGCCUGCAGCGGCCUAAUAAAGACAUCAAGUAAGUUUGCAAUCUAUGAUUUCAAUUAAGCAAAGCAAGAACUGCAAAAUGUGACCAAGAGAAGGAAUGGUUUUGAACAAAUAACUUUGACAACUCAACAUACAACCAAACUCGGCUAAGAUUGCUCUUUAGUUGACUAUUACUAGACAUCUACAAAAGAAUAUUAAUCCCAUUCAAACAAUUUAUCGAACAUCUACCCUGCAAAAGGAAAAAUCCGAAUCCAUGACCCACGAUAGUAUACCUGAUUCAGAAAUCUAAAUCUAGUUAUCUGCAAAAGGAAAUUGAAUUCUAUAAAUCUGAAUCCAUAAAAAAAAAAACAAAUAAAAUAUCCACAUAUAUUUGAAUUUGCACGAUUCAUCGUCCAUAUCUCACAAUUUAAUGAACAGAUUAUAGCAAAGAAGCUAAUUAAUGUCAGUGUUUAGAUUUACAGAGCAAGGAGACCUUAUUUUCAUUUAACUGGGAAAGGAAAUAUAGAAUAAGAAAAAGAAGGGGGGAAUGUCCUAAGAGUGCUAAGAGUAGUCCCAUCUAAGAAAGGAUUUACCAGGACAUCACUUUAAACAUAUAUAAUUCUGAAAGUUGAACGCCAUAGCUGCUCUGAAACCAAUUUAGGCCUUAGGGCAGCAUAUAUAGUAAUCACUAAUUGCUUGUUUUCUGCCAAAUUUCCCAUGUAGGACCAGCCAGCUUCAUUGCAAUGAUUAGGCGGAGCAGAAUUCUGAUUGUGGAAUACAUAUCUUUAUUGAAGGAUGAACAAAUGGCACCCACCUUUAAUUGAACAAGUAAAGAAUUAGAGUUUCAGUAAUAGAUUUCUCAUUGUUUAUCCCUGAUUCAAUAUCGUUGCUAGUUGUAUCACUUCAGAAUCUAGAAACGAAUCCGAAAUCGUGCUAUGUACAUCAGAACAGCUAUCAAAUUCCUGUUCCACUACGUUUCCACCAUAAUCAGGAAUAUUGUUCUUGACAAAUAGACAAGGCAGCAGUUCUUCAUACUCGUAUUCACCUUGAUGAUCGACGCUCUCCUCCGAAUCAGCUAUUUUCUGAAGCUCCAAUGCGGCCUCUACUGCCAUCUCUACUUCCCCCAUCUCAGGUCGUCCCUUACCAGUCUGGCAAACACAACAAUAGGCAAUCUCCACAAAUUUCUUGAAACAUUGAGGGGCUAUUUUCUUCUUCAAAUAAGGAUCAAUGAUGUCAUAGAUAGUCCCGUUUUCGAUACAUUUACAAGCCCAAGAAGUUAAAACCUUUUUUAAUCCCUUCCAAUGUUAGAUCAAUUGCCUUCCUUCCGCAUAACACCUCAAACAAAACAAUCCCAAAAGCGUAAACAUCAGUUUUUCUGGUUAUACGGCCAGUUAUAUAACACUCUAGAUCCAUAUGAACGACGGUACCUGGUAUUUUGAUGUUCAAAGAGCCAGUAGGAGAACCAGCUUGGCUCAUCUUUUACAGGCUAAGAUCGGAAAGCUUAGGAUUCCAUUCGUCAUCCAAUAGAAUGUUUCGGCUACUGAUGUUACGAUGGAUUAAUGAAUGCUUUGCUCCUGAAUGAAGGUAAUGCAACCCACGGGCUGCACCACUGCAUAUCGUUAGCCUCUGCUUCCGGGAGAGUGGAUCAUUAGGACGAUUACCAUAAAGAUGUUUAUUAAGUGAACCAUUGCUUAUAUAUUCAUAAACCAGAAGCUUUUCAUCUUCUUCGUCGCAGAAUCCGAUGAAAGAGACAAGAUUUGGGUGUCGUAGCUGACACAGAUCAUCAAUGAUUCCUUCGUAUAGAUCUCCAAAACCACCACGACCAAGGAGAAAGUCUUCACGGAAGCUGUUGAUAGCAGCUUUAAUCUCCUCAAGUGAGAAUUGUCGGCAUAGUCCCUCUGGGAAUGCUGAACAUUGCUUCCCUGGAGACCUUCCCUUUCCCCUGCUUUUAUACAACUUUGCAUUGUUAGGCGAUUUAUUAAUAAUGUGGAAGAAAAGUAGAAGGGAUUUUAAAGGGUUUUUCAUUGCAAGAAAUGAAGGAAGCAAGUUUGGAUUUGAUUGAAUAUUACAGUUUCUUCAGAUUAGCUUACAUUGUUCAUUUCAAAUGUGAAUUACAUUUUGGGAUUGAGCAUUACUUUCCAACUUUCUGGAAGUGCCAUUAUUGGGUCAAAGGAUUGAACUUCCUGGAUAAAAUUCUGCAGUGUGAAAAGAACUUAUUUUUCAGAAUGAAACGACAAUUUAAUUCAGAACGCGGAAAUGUGUUGACCUUUAUGUCUUCUGGUUUCAUUAAGCCUCAAAUGAUGACUUGAACCUUAGUUUGAGGCAGUGGCAAAAUGCGUAAGCAUAAACUUAAACAUAACAAGAACACAGAGUUUAUUUAUACUGUUACUCUUCAGAAAUUACAUUCUACAAACCCUUUUUUUAUUAUUAGCAAGUUACCAUCUCUUCUAUCAAUAAAAACUUUAUGAAGUUGAUUGAAACAUGUUUAUUUAAUACUUGCUUGUGAGCAAGGAGCUCUCAUUCAAGUAAACAUUUCCCCAUGGUGGGCUCAAUGUUUCAUUAAACAUUUUUUCCAGGAAAGAGGAAAAUCCUGUUACUUUGCAGGUAAUAACAGUGACAUUAUCCACUCCCAGGUGUUACCUGUGUAAUUUUCAUUCCAAGAACACAAUACAAACCGAGAAACUCUACAUUUUGGAGCCAAAAGUUCUUUCAGUUUGGAUUCUUCAAUUAAUGAACAAUUUAUCGUCAUAAACCAAUAGUUAGUUCAAUCAAUGAUUUUAGUAUAAACACAAUAUGAUCUAAACCUGAUCAAUAAAUAUAAGCUCGGAUAAAUAAAUCACUGUCCUCAUCCGGUCAUCCCUCUAUUGUUAAUCCAUCCAUGAUAAGUCAUGCAACAAUGAAAGAACGCUUGGGAAUUGAAUUAGCAGACUAUCUAAACAGAAAUUGCUAUCCUGACAAAGCAUUUAACUAUUAUUAUUGUGGUUAUUUGUUAGGGUUUUGACAGCAGCAAAAGAAGAGAACAAGACAUAGAACAAAGGAGCAAGAAGCUUGAUAUAAUUUACUUGCUCACAAAGGUGCAGCAAGGAAGCAAUCUGCUUUACACAACUGAUAUUCUUAUACAUUCAAUAUGAAAACAAUACAUUUAUAGUCAAAAUACAUCAUCAAAUAUUCAACUACCUCACUAUUGACUAUUAAAACAUUGCUUGUACACAUAAAUAAACUGACCUAUCAGCUCAACCAUCACCUAAACCGACCAAAACAUCAAGAACUAAGUUCAUUUUCAACAUUAUUGCUAUCUGAAUCUGAUAAGUCAGUAUAAAAUUUAGAAUAAUUAUGGCUACCAAGACCCACAAAAUUCCUAACAAAGGCAGAAAACAAUGCUUCUUCAUACAUACACUCACCAGAAGGAUAGAUGCUCUCCAUUUCGGAAUCUGCUCUCUCUUGCAGCUCCAAGGCUAGUUCUAGUGUGACCUCCACCUCACCCAUUGCUGGCCUUUCAUUUCCAUUACAGUGGACACAACUAGAAGCGAUUUCCAAAUACUUGUUCAAACAUUCCGGAGCUAUCCUUCCCUUGAGGUACGGAUCAAUGGCAUGAUGAAUGGUUCCUUCCCUUAGGGAUUCCUUGGCCCAAGUAAGCAAACUUCCUUGAUUGUCUGGUAGUGUCCGAUCCGAGUUUCUUCUGCCAUAAAGAACUUCGAACAAAACGACCCCAAAUGAGUAUACGUCGGAUUUUUCGGUCAGUUCCCCAUGCAUGGUAUAUUCUGGAGCCAUAUAUCCAUAAGUUCCCACAAGCCUACAUGUAUACUUUCUUAUCAAGGCUUUUGACAUGCUAGGAGGACCCAGUUUGGACAAGCCAAAAUCUGAAAGUUUGCAACACCAUUCUUCAUCUAAAAGUAUGUUUGAGCUCUUGAUGUCAUGGUGGAUUACAGCAUGCUUGGCACCGGUGUGCAGGUAA